CUUAGAUCUUAAGUACUUUGUUUUUAUUUGAUUAGAGCAAGAAUACUUAUUUAUUCUCCCUAAUCUCUUUCUUCAUAUUUAUUUACUUUACGUUUCCACGCCGAUCAUCAAGAAACCUCGUUUAGGCUUGCUUAGUCUUACGAACAUGAGACCAUAGCGCCGCACGGAACUUAGCUAAAGUUCUAAGUCCGUGACAAUUGGUAUUAGAGCAACACUUUUCAAAGCUAAGUAUCACACGAUUUGAAGAUUAAGAGACAAAAUGACAUCAAUUGGUGAUCAGACUGCAUCCCAUUUGAACGCCAUGGUUCAAGAUAGUGUGAGUGUUGCAAACAGGGAAACUGCACAAACACAUACUGCGAAACGUUAUGAGUUUGAGGACAUCUUGUAAGCACUAGAUAACCGCGUAUCUCACCGUGAGACAGUUAACAAUCAUGAGGUGUGGAGCAACUUCGAACAAAUUAAAAACAGUGUCGAGCAGUUGCGGUCCAAUAAUAAUGAGCUUCGCAAAGGAUGGCACAACACGGUGGAUCAAUUAAUUCGCCACAAUGUGAGGCUAGACGUAAUGAUGGCAGACAAGUACUGAGAAGACGUGUUCCAUGACUUCCUUACGGGGUAAAAGAGAUUUGAUUCACUGAGUUUUGACAUUACUUGCGCGUCAAGCUCAAAUUCUGUGUGUGUCGUAAAUGAAGACACUGCACACAUAGGAGCAGUGUACUUGGAUGACAUUGGCCAACCACAAACUAGUAAAUCACACUAAAAAACACAUCCCAACUUGGAAGUGUUCUCGAAACGGUUGGAGAAAAACUAUCUUAAACACACUCAGGACGCUUGUGGGGAGCUUGAUGAGGAUUGUGGUGGAAAAAGACCACGAGGCAACCAAGGCGUUGCUUAAAUCAAAUGGGAAAGAAUGUCACGGUUCGCAAAUCAGUUACUAGUCUAGCCUGUUUGGAUUGUCAAACCAGGCCACAUGUAGGGGUCCAUUAGCUGUCGCCUUGGCAACCUAUCAAAGUAUUCUAAGGAUGAGUGGGGUGUUUAGGACCAUUUACCAUCUUAAAAGUGUGUACGGUAAAAAUUUUAGAUGAUAGACCAUCCACUGAACCAAGAGACCAUUCUAAAAUUGAUCCAAACCCAUCAAGUUCAUGAGGACAAUCUGUAAAUGGCUAUCCACAUAGAUUUAUCCACUUGUUUCCAGGUUUGGGGUGACCAACACUCAGUAGACCUCCUUUUGCUUGAAAGACUGGUGUAACUAACACCAAGUCGACGAUGCUUAAUCCCUUGGAGUCCAUAGUUAUAUCACAGGCUGACGUUUCAGAUAGAGUAAGGUCCCCUGAAUGAUUUGGAUAAGAAAAUUUUGGUCAAGUUGCUGGAAAGUCUGAAAGAGGGUAGAGGCGGCUAAAAGAGAAAGCAAUGAAAAUGUGAUUUGGUCUUGGACUCUUUAGCCUGGUAAAUUUGCAUUUGCCAUUGGAUUUGAUUUGAUUUUCCAAAGUUUGAGGUAAAUGAAGAAAGAGAUUGAAUGGAUAACUAUCAAGCACACGUGUCGGAUUACGUUAAGGUGGAAUUUAUGAGAUGAUCAUCUCAAAAUUUAUAGUGAUUUGUAUUCAAUGAUUAGAUCAUUCAUGUUUGGUAAGAAUUUGAUAAUCUUGCGUGAUAGUGAUCGCUAUUGAGAAUGAUUAGAUGAUUGCAUUUCCAUAUAAAAAGGGAGAAAAAAUAUUUUUUAUUAGACUAAUUUGUAAACUAAUUAGGAAAAUUUUACCU